UUAAUACAUGCAAGUCGAACGCGUUGUGUGCCCAAUUGAUUGAUGGUGCUUGCACCUGAUUGAUUUUGGUCGCCAACGAGUGGCGGACGGGUGAGUAACACGUAGGUAACCUGCCCAGAAGCGGGGGACAACAUUUGGAAACAGAUGCUAAUACCGCAUAACAACGUUGUUCGCAUGAACAACGCUUAAAAGAUGGCUUCUCGCUAUCACUUCUGGAUGGACCUGCGGUGCAUUAGCUUGUUGGUGGGGUAACGGCCUACCAAGGCGAUGAUGCAUAGCCGAGUUGAGAGACUGAUCGGCCACAAUGGGACUGAGACACGGCCCAUACUCCUACGGGAGGCAGCAGUAGGGAAUCUUCCACAAUGGGCGCAAGCCUGAUGGAGCAACACCGCGUGAGUGAAGAAGGGUUUCGGCUCGUAAAGCUCUGUUGUUAAAGAAGAACACGUAUGAGAGUAACUGUUCAGACGUUGACGGUAUUUAACCAGAAAGUCACGGCUAACUACGUGCCAGCAGCCGCGGUAAUACGUAGGUGGCAAGCGUUAUCCGGAUUUAUUGGGCGUAAAGAGAGUGCAGGCGGUUUUCUAAGUCUGAUGUGAAAGCCUUCGGCUUAACCGGAGAAGUGCAUCGGAAACUGGAUAACUUGGGUGCAGAAAAGGGUAGUGGAACUC
rnacentral:rRNA from 2 species